rnacentral:rRNA from 1 species
GUCUACGGCCACACCACUCUGGCAACGCCCGAUCUCGUCCGAUCUCGGCUGCUAAGCAGGGUCGGGCCUGGUUAGUACUUGGAUGGGAGACCUCCUGGGAAUACCGGGUGCCGUAGGCU